CUAAGAAUCUUCCGCAAUGGGCGAAAGCCUGACGGAGCGACGCCGCGUGGGUGAUGAAGGCCUAACGGUUGUAAAGCCCUUUUCUGCGUGAGGAAUAAGGACAGGAGGCAAUGCCUGUCUGAUGACGGUAGCGCAGGAAUAAGCCCCGGCCAAUUACGUGCCAGCAGCCGCGGUAACACGUAUGGGGCGAGCGCUGUUCGGAAUCAUUGGGCGUAAAGGGCGCGCAGGCGGCUAUGUAAGUCUGGUGUGAAAGACCGCAGCUCAACUGCGGGCACGCGCUGGAAACUAUGUAGCUUGAGUUCUGGAGGGGAAGCUGAAAUUCCAGGUGUAGGGGUGAAAUCUGUAGAUAUCUGGAAGAACAUCGGCGGCGAAGGCGAGCUUCUGGCCAUGAACUGACGCUGAGGCGCGAAAGCGUGGGGAGCGAACAGGAUUAGAUACCCUGGUAGUCCACGCUGUAGACGAUGUGCACUAGGUGUUGGGCCGCUGAAGGCUCAGUGCCGGAGUUAACGCGUUAAGUGCACCGCCUGGGGAGUAUGCCCGCAAGGGUA
rnacentral:rRNA from 1 species